CUCUUUCUCGAUUCAGUGGAUGGUGGUGCAUGGCCGUUCUUAGUUGGUGGAGNGAUCUGUCUGGUUAAUUCCGAUAACGAACGAGACUCUCCCCUGCUAACUAGUCGGUUGGAUCUUGAUCAGCGGGUUGCGUGCCGAGUAACUCUCGCUGUGCGUGGUGCGUCUCGGGCCUCACGGUUCGUUGCGUGCUCGUGUGGCGUUGGAUGCCUUGGAUCACACUGCACCCCAAGUCCGCCGCUCAUGCUAUAACUCUUCUUAGAGGGAUUCACGGCACUGAAGCCGUAAGAGACUGAGAGCAAUAACAGGUCUGUGAUGCCCUUAGAUGCUCUGGGCCGCACGCGCGCUACAAUGCCGGGCACAGCAGGUGUUUCUCCUGCUCCGACAGGAGCGGGUAACCCUCUGAAAGCCAGUGUUCUUGCAAGUGCUUCCUCCCUCGUGGAGUUGCACAGAGGCGUGCUUGGGCCUGGGACUUGCAAUUCUUUCCCACCAACGAGGAAUGCCUAGUAGCGGCGGGUCACUGAGCCCGCCGUGACUCAGUCCCUGCCCUUUGUACACACCGCCCGUCGCUACUACCGAUUGGGUGUACCAGUGAGAGCCUUGGACUGGCGUCCGUUGUUGCUCGCAAGAGUGACAAGCGGGUCCGACGGAAAGAGGUCCGAACUGGUGCACUUAGAGGAAGUAAAAGUCGUAACAAGGUUUCCGUAGGUGAACCUGCGGAG
rnacentral:rRNA from 1 species